rnacentral:rRNA from 1 species
UACAGAGGUCCCGAGCGUUGUUCGGAUUCAUUGGGCGUAAAGGGUGCGUAGGCGGCGGGGCAAGUCUGAUGUGAAAUCCCGGGGCUCAACCCCGGAACUGCAUUGGAUACUGCCUUGCUUGAGUACUGGAGAGGGAACUGGAAUUUACGGUGUAGCGGUGAAAUGCGCAGAUAUCAGGAGGAACACCAAUGGCGAAGGCAGCUCGCUGGGACGGUACUGACACUGAGACGCGAAAGCGUGGGGAGCAAACAGG